AAAUUGAAGAGUUUGAUCAUGGCUCAGAUUGAACGCUGGCGGCAGGCCUAACACAUGCAAGUCGAACGGUAACAGAAAGAAGCUUGCUUCUUUGCUGACGAGUGGCGGACGGGUGAGUAAUGUCUGGGAAACUGCCUGAUGGAGGGGGAUAACUACUGGAAACGGUAGCUAAUACCGCAUAACGUCGCAAGACCAAAGAGGGGGACCUUCGGGCCUCUUGCCAUCGGAUGUGCCCAGAUGGGAUUAGCUAGUAGGUGGGGUAACGGCUCACCUAGG
rnacentral:rRNA from 1 species